ACUGUACAGUAAGAGCAUUCAAUGUUAAUAAGUUACAGAGUGCAAAAUAAUUCUCAAACUGGGUCGGACAAUAUGUCAGGUCAACUCAUGUUGUGACCAGACGAUGAUAUCAGCCAGUGACUAAUUAACCCUUUAAGUGGCAGUGCGCCCUGAUGUACCCUACUUAAUUUAUUAAUUUACUCUGUUUAACACCAGACAAUUU